GGCACUGAUGCAGGAAAGGAGAGGUUACCGGGAAACAAAAAGGCUGCCCCACGCAUCAGAACGAGAAGAGUGGUAUUUAACUCUACAAGGGUAGAGCUUCCGUCUCCCACAGCGACAAUCACUUUGGAGCCUGUGGCCUCCUGGAAGCUGGUCUGGAUGGGUGGACCUGACGGGCCACGAUCCUCUAAGGGACACCCACCGCUAUCUGGGGAGGCAGCCAAGGCAGCUGACUGAGCGCCCACUGUGUGCUGGGGCACAAUGCCACCCAUUUCACAGAUCAAAAAGAAAAGGCUCACAAGACCAGACCUGCCAAGGACAACUGCCAGGCCCCCCUGAGAACAACCACACCUGGAUAUCCACCUGGAUAUGAAAGUGUCGGUUCCUGGAUUCCACAAAUAUUGCCAGCCCCUCCUAUUUCUCAAUAAAGGUCACAGUGGAAAAUCCCCAGCUCUUCCCGCCAAAAGUCCCCAGCCACUUCAAAUAAUAUAAAAAGUCUUCACCCCCUUCAAACAGGCAUGACGUCUCGGGCCCCAUUUUCCUGGGACCCGUGAACCUCGCCUGGGAGCACUCAAUAAAGUCCCAUAGUAUGGCCACUCUCUCUCUGUCUGUCUGCUUCUUUUGCCGCUGAAACCCUUACUCCCAGGCCUGCCCCAGACGUCCCGGCUGCAGGCCUCCCCGUGUCCCCUCUGCCGCACCCCCAGUCUCCUCUGCAGAGCCCAGUGGCGCCUGCCCUUCAGGCCCAAGGCCAUCUCCUCCAGCUGGAAGGCUGCUGCCCCCUCACAGCAGGCACCAGCACUCCCUGCCAUCCACAGGUCUGUUUUCACCAGGAUGUGAACUCCUGGAGAGCAGGGUGGGGGUCUCCCUGCUCCCAGCGCCCCCACAGCUCCCAGGGUUGCGGCCGACACAAAGCCUCCCUGGGCC